GCCUACGGCCAUACCACCCUGAGAACGCCCGAUCUCAUCUGAUCCUGGAAGCUAAGCAGGGUCGGGCCUGGUUAGUA
rnacentral:rRNA from 1 species